UUUCAUUCAAUUCAUAGGGCUGGCUUAGGUUAUAAUUGACAUCGCACAUAAUGAUUUUUUUUCUUCUGUAAACUGCGGGGCAUUAUCUUGUUUUGUUUUCUUAUUAUUUGCAAUCCGCAACAUUUGAAUAUGAAAACAUCUUGCUGCAUGUCAGCGGAAAAUUUGACACUUCUGUUCCUGCCACGUGGAUCGAAGACCGAGUCGAUUUUGCCGUUAACGAACGCUUGACUAAUCCAUAUUGGAGUAGAGAUUAUUCUGGACUAUACGCAUUAUAGGUAAUCGAACGUAAACUUAUAAAAGUUAUAUUUAGCUACAUCAUACACCUACAAAAGUGUUUUGUCUAACUCAGGAAGACUAAC